CCUCAAUGUCCAUUAAAAAUAAAUUGUAUUACACUUUGAAUUCAUGAAAAAUUGUGGUACAUUAUAUAAAUAGUGGAAGAAAUGAGCUAAAUGUGCAAAUAAUAAAACUUUAAUUAAUUAAAUAUUAAAUUAUUCCUAAGUGCUCCACUAACUCUCAUCUUGAGCCACCUAUAUAAGUAAUUGGGAUAGAUUGUUCCACUAAACCAUUUCAUUUUCUUCAAGCAUUCAUCCAUAGCCGAAAUGAAAUCCUCCCAAAUUCACCAUGGCCAUUUCAUGCAUGAGCUCAAGUCCUCCAUGAUCAAGCCAUUAUUUCUUCAGGCUCCCUUCAUGAAAAAUGAUCCUUACACCAUGGGAAACCUAUAGGCAGCAAAAAGGAGAGGAAAUUUCAAGGAUUUGUCAAGCUCAAGUUGAGGUUAGUGCUUAAUCUUUCCAAUUUCCUUCACUAAUCCUUGUGUUGAGCUUUGGGUAAGUUGAAUUGCUAAGAAAAUUUGAGGAAAGGAUUGAGUAUUGGUGAACCUUAGUUUCGGAAGCCAUGAAAAUGCAUGGUUAGUGACUUAUUCUUAUAUUUAAUGGAUGGGAAUUAACUACCCCUAUACCGGCUUCACUCUCAUUUAUAGCACCAUCAAAAUACAUCUUCCAUCCCUGCACUUCUACUAGUUUGGUAUUCUCAUAUGGGAAAGUCGUUUCAACUUCUUCAUUUUCAUCCAUCGGAUUUUCAAAAAGAAAUUCUUCUACCACACUCCCUUUUAUGGCCUUUCGAGUCUCACACACAAUAUCAAACUUUAACAAUAGAAUCAAACAUUUAGAUAAAUUUCCCAUUAGGGCUGGUACUUUAAAUAAGUACUUUAAAAGAUCCAUUCAGGAAACUACAACUUGACAAGAUUGAAAAUAGUACCUCAAUUUCUUGGUUACCAUACAAUAACUAGACAUGUCUUUUUUAUCAAUGAAUAAUUUUCUUCAUAGGUAAGAAGUUUCUUACUAAUGUAGUAAAUUGCUUUUUCUAGACUGUCAACCUCUUGUGCCAUCAUUGCCCCCAGGGCUAUGUCUUCUAGUGAUAAGUGAAGAUUAAAGGAAUCCUAAGAAUGGGUGGUGACAAAACUGGCAGAUUGCUCAGAUAUUGCUUUAUCUUAUCGAAUGCCUUUUAACACUGCUCAUUCCAUACUACCAGUUGAUUCUUUCUUAGUAACUUGAAAAUUAUUUCACUGGUAGUUGUGGGCCUAGUUAUGAACCUGCUGAUGCAUUAUAGUUUCCCUAGGAAUCCUCUAACUUCCUUUUCUAUCUUUGAAGUUGGCAUUUCUUGAAUGGCUUUUAUUUUGUCCGAAUCUAUCUCAAUCCCCUUCUUACUAAUUACUUACCCCAACAGUUUUCUAGAGGUAACCCCAAAACACACUUGCCUGGAUUAAGUCUUAGCUUAUGCUUGAUGAUCCUUUGGAAGAACUUCUUUAAUGCCUUAAAGUGUUUUUCACAAGUUGGGGAUUUUACCACCAUGUCAUCAUAUAUACCCCUACUUCCUUCUGCAUGAUAUCAUGGAAGAGCAUAGUGGCCAUUCUCUUGUAACACCCCAUUUGCAUAGCCUGGUAAAUUUCACUGUUCCGGUGACCGGUG
rnacentral:misc_RNA from 1 species